rnacentral:rRNA from 1 species
CCCCUAGAUGUUCUGGGUCGCACGCGCGCUACACUGAACAGUUCAACAAGUCUUAACCUUGGCCGAUAGGUCUGGGUAAUCUUUGAACGCUGUUCGUGAUUGGGAUAGACCUUUGCAAUUAUGGGUCUUCAACGAGGAAUUCCUAGUAAACGCAAGUCAUCAGCUUGCAUUGAUUACGUCCCUGCCCUUUGUACACACCGCCCGUCGCACCUACCGAUUGAAUGGUCCGGUGAAAUCUCGGGACGGCGGCUUGGUCGCUUGCGUCCGACUGCUGAAACUUGAUUAAACCAUNUNAUUUAGNGGAAGGUGAANUCGUANCA